AGGCAACUCGCACUGGCAACUGCUGAAGAGGCGCCAGCGGUGUGAUUGGUCCGGCUUUAAAUGAAUAAACUAUAAAACUAUCUUCUAUAAACAUAUCUUUUAGCUUUUAGAAAUAAAUCUGCUCCGCCAGUGAAACGCUCAGAGCAACAGAGACGCUUGCAAUACAGCUU